AACGCGAAGAACCUUACCUACCCUUGACAUGCCAGGAACCCUGCUGAGAGGUGGGGGUGCCCGAAAGGGAACCUGGACACAGGUGCUGCAUGGCUGUCGUCAGCUCGUGUCGUGAGAUGUUGGGUUAAGUCCCGCAACGAGCGCAACCCUUGUCAUUAGUUGCCAUCAUUCAGUUGGGCACUCUAAUGAGACUGCCGGUGACAAACCGGAGGAAGGUGGGGAUGACGUCAAGUCCUCAUGGCCCUUAUGGGUAGGGCUUCACACGUCAUACAAUGGUCGGUACAGAGGGUUGCCAAGCCGCGAGGUGGAGCCAAUCCCAGAAAGCCGAUCGUAGUCCGGAUCGGAGUCUGCAACUCGACUCCGUGAAGUCGGAAUCGCUAGUAAUCGUGGAUCAGCAUGCCACGGUGAAUACGUUCCCGGGUCUUGUACACACCG
rnacentral:rRNA from 1 species